AGAUAAAGGUUUGUUGUUUCAGGUCUGUAGAUAAAGGUCUGUAGUAAUAGAUAAAGGUUUGGUGUUUCAGGUCUGUAGAUAAAGGUCUGUAGUAAUUGGUAAAGGUUUGUUGUUUCAGGUCUGUAGAUAAAGGUCUGUAGUAAUAGAUAAAGGUUUGUUGUUUCAGGUCUGUAGAUAAAGGUCUGUAGUAAUAGAUAAAGGUUUGUUGUUUCAGGUCUGUAGAUAAAGGUCUGUAGUAAUAGAUAAAGGUUUGGUGUUUCAGGUCUGUAGAUAAAGGUCUGUAGUAAUUGGUAAAGGUUUGUUGUUUCAGGUCUGUAGAUAAAGGUCUGUAGUAAUAGAUAAAGGUUUGUUGUUUCAGGUCUGUAGAUAAAGGUCUGUAGUAAUAGAUAAAGGUUUGUUGUUUCAGGUCUGUAGAUAAAGGUCUGUAGUAAUUGGUAAAGGUUUGUUGUUUCAGGUCUGUAGAUAAAGGUCUGUAGUAAUAGGUAAAGUUUUGUAGUUUCAGGUCUGUAGAUAAAGGUCUGUAGUAAUAGGUAAAGGUUUGUUGUUUCAGGUCUGUAGUUGAAGGUCUGUAGUAAUAGGUAAAGGUUUGUUGUUUCAGGUCUGUAGAUAAAGGUCUGUAGUAAUAGAUAAAGGUUUGUUGUUUCAGGUCUGUAGAUAAAGGUCUGUAGUAAUAGGUAAAGGUUUGUUGUUUCAGGUCUGUAGAUAAAGGUCUGUAGUAAUAGAUAAAGGUUUGUUGUUUCAGGUCUGUAGAUAAAGGUCUGUAGUAAUAGGUAAAGGUUUGUUGUUUCAGGUCUGUAGAUAAAGGUCUGUAGUAAUAGAUAAAGGUUUGUUGUUUCAGGUCUGUAGAUAAAGGUCUGUAGUAAUAGGUAAAGGUUUGUUGUUUCAGGUCUGUAGAUAAAGGUCUGUAGUAAUAGAUAAAGGUUUGUUGUUUCAGGUCUGUAGAUAAAGGUCUGUAGUAAUAGAUAAAGGUUUGUUGUUUCAGGUCUGUAGAUAAAGGUCUGUAGUAAUAGGUAAAGGUUUGUAGUUUUUAGAACAGUAGGUCUGUAGGGUUAAAGAUC